UUGUAUCUGCAGAUUUUUUUUCAUUGAAGGAUUAUAAUAACUGACCAAAACCUCAUUUAUAUUCCCAGGUCAGCCAGAUGACUGGUUCUGAGCCUUCACCAGGGGAUGGAUCAGACAUAACUCUUGGUAACUCCAAGCAAUCCUACGUGGAGGAAAUGACAAGCUGGGUAAAGUGAGAAACAAAUCUACAGCCUAACCUAAAUGCAAUAUGUGGGAAAAGAGCUCUACCCAGACCCUUCUCCAUCCAGGCUGAGGAAGUGAGCUACAGAUGGAUUCCAAAGGCAUCAAUUCUCAUGGGUCGUUCUUCACUGCGGUAUGCUUUGUUUGUUGAGAAUUGUAUAAACUCCAAACUCCAUAAGCAGGAGAGCAUCCAGGGAUGUUUUUUAUGGUUUCCUACCUUCCACAAGACUUUAAAUGCAAAGAACAAGAGCUGCUUUUUACAUUUUGCUUUCAUGUAUUUGGUGAGCAAAGGCGGCCUUUGCUGUGACUGCGUAACCACUGAAGGUUAAGUGACAAAGUAUUAAAUUUGAUAAUCCUUAGCAGGUAAAAUGACCACAGGCAAGCAAUAAAGUCCAUCUAUUCCCUAGAGUUCUAGUGUGC
rnacentral:lncRNA from 1 species